GCUUGCUUCAGUAUGGAAUGUCAGGAAAACGUCAGAGAGAUUGUCCCGUUUCAGCAAUUUUGUUAAAAUGCUAAGAAUCGGGAGAUGACUGCAUGAUCACAUUGCUGGCUGUGAGAAGGGAUGAGAUUCUAUUAAGAGAGGAGGAAAGCAAUGUUACUCAUUCCCAUUGCGCAGAAUGAGGAAUUCUCAAAAGAGAAAUGGACACAAAAGUACCUCCUGCGAGAGAUGCCAAGUUCUGGACACAGGCAAAAUAAAGGAAGACUUUGUUAGAGAGAGCAGAUGGCAAGCAAGAGGAAUGGCCAACAUCUGGGCAGUGAGAGACCCAUGAGGGAAGAGGGCAAAUGAGAAAAGAAGAAUAACACAUAAACCUAGUAGUAGGAAGCAUCAUUGUUCCACCAUGAUCUUCUGCAUGGUGAUUCUUCCUUCAAGCUAGCCAUCCAUGGACUGACUCUCCUGAAACUGUGAACAAAAUUA